rnacentral:rRNA from 1 species
GACAGAGGGUGCAAACGUUGCUCGGAAUUACUGGGCGUAAAGCGCGUGUAGACGGACCAGCAAGUCGGACGUGAAAUCCCUGAGCUCAACUCAGGAACUGCACCCGAAACUGCUGGUCUGGAGUGGUGGAGAGGGAAGCAGAAUUCCUGGUGUAGAGGUGAAAUUCGUAGAUAUCAGGAGGAACACCGGUGGCGAAGGCGGCUUCCUGGACACUUACUGACGCUGAGACGCGAAAGCGUGGGGAGCAAACAGG